GAUGAACGCUGGCGGCGUGCCUAAUACAUGCAAGUCGAGCGAACGGACGAGAAGCUUGCUUCUCUGAUGUUAGCGGCGGACGGGUGCGUAACACGUGGAUAACCUACCUAUAAGACUGGGAUAACUUCGUGAAACCGUAGCUAAUACCGGAUAAUAUUUUGAACCGCAGGGUUCAAAAGUGAAAGACGGUCUUGCUGUCACUUAUAUAUGGAUCCGCGCUGCAUUAGCUAGUUGGUAAGGUAACGGCUUACCAAGGCCACGAUGCAUAGCCGACCUGAGAGGGUGAUCGGCCACACUGGAACUGAGACACGGUCCAGACUCCUACGGGAGGCAGCAGUAGGGAAUCUUCCGCAAUGGGCGAAAGCCUGACGGAGCAACGCCGCGUGAGUGAUGAAGGUCUUCGGAUCGUAAAACUCUGUUAUUAGGGAAGAACAUAUGUGUAAGUAACUGUGCACAUCUUGACGGUACCUAAUCAGAAAGCAACGGCUAACUACGUG
rnacentral:rRNA from 1 species